GGGGGCGGAGCGCUGCUGGUGUGGCGUGCGGUCUUCAAAACCGUUGUGGGGCAGAGAAACGCUGUCCUGGGUGGGUUCGAUUCCCACGCGUCCCCGA
rnacentral:tRNA from 1 species